AUUAUUUAUUUAUUUAUUUAUUGUCGUUAAUCUUGAUAUCAGAAUCCAAUUUAUUGACUAAAACAAUCUUCAAUUUCUUUUUUUUAUUAAAUGUCAUAGUACCUUGCUGGAAAUUUGUUGUCCCCUAACAGUUAAGGUUGCCAUGUGACAAGCAUUAACACCAUGGAUUGUGGUCUGUGCACUGGUUGGUGGUAACAGUUAAGGGCUAACAAGAGACUUUGGUGCUUUUAUUCUCACUUUUUUGUCCCUUCUGAGAGUAAUAAGGAUUAGUUAUAAAGAUUUAGAUCAUCCAUUGGCUACAAAGAGUUUCCUACCAAACUUUUGCAAUAAAAGCAUUGAUCCUUGGCAGAUUGCAAGGGCGGAACUAGUUAUAUGCAGGUAUAAUUCACUCUUAAAAAGC
rnacentral:misc_RNA from 1 species